rnacentral:lncRNA from 1 species
AAAAAUUAGCCAGGCACGAUGGCAGGAGCCUGUAAUACCAGCUACUUGGGAGUCUGAGGCAGGAGGGUCACUUGAACCCAGGAGGCAGAGGUUGCAGUGAGCAGAGAUCACGCCGCUGCACUCCAACCUGGUGACAGAGCGAGACUCCAUCUCUAAAUAAAUAAAUAAAGUGGGAAUAAAAUGGUAAAUAUUGAACAGAGUAGAAUAGAUGUUUGAGUGUGGGUGUAUGGGAGAAUAGAGGAUAAGGCUAAAGAGGGAAAAUAAAUAAGUGCAUUCAGGUGUGUAUGACUGAUGUGUGUAACUGAGGAGUGUGGCUAACUUUACCCUACUGCUCUAACGUAGUGUUCAACAUACAUUAGUCAAUAGACCAAUUGCUCUCUAGUUUGUUCGAAAGAUAGAACCUUUGGCUUCCAGCACUGUUCAGUUCGGUGGUCAUGAUAUCUUACAUGUGGAGAACUUAGUCAAAAUUAUUAAAAAUUCCUGUCUCACAGCAACCCCUAAAACAUGCAGGCUUAGGCGUUGCCCUAUCUGACAGCUUAGGGAACAGAGGGCAGGAGAUUAACACCAUUUGUGGGGCUGCCCUAUGCCAGGACUGGGCUUGGGACUUCAAGGAUGUGGUCAUGUUUAAAGUUCUCAGUGUCUACAAGAUGAUUGUUGCAUUGCUGCUUUAUGGAGGAGGGACCAGAGAGGCAGGCAGUUCAGCUGUUGUUGGCCCAAGCUUGACUGGCCGUGGAAUACCAGCCCCUUACUGCUAGCCCAGCGUGGGUCCCUAUGUCCCCAAAGCCCACAGCAGAAUUUCUGGCGUGGAUUACAGAGUGUCCUUGGGAGAAUGACUAUGACAGAAGGAGCUGGAUACAGUUCUCUUGCAGGAUCUCCUUCCCAGCCUUCAGAAAUUGCCGGUCUGGGAGUUGGGGGCAAGGAGAAGAUCCUGAAUUAGACCUUUACGAGAAGCACAGUUUUGUCUUCAGUUUCCUCUCCCCCCACCCGGAAUGGCCUGAGCCGAAGCCAGCUCCCUCCGAGAAGUCAUUACCGCCUGACUUGCGUUUGAUAUUUAGACACCUUGGUCACAACAUCUUGCAUUCUCUCGGGAUGCUGAUUUCUAACUGCUCUUUGGCCUUUCCUGCAUUGGUCCUCCUCAGGCAGGGGAUCCCUGCUCUUCUAUAUUAGUGAGAAAACCAAGGCUCAGAGAAACUGUGGAUUUUCUAAGGAUGCUGGCUCCCCGUCCCCUGUCCACCAUGAGUCAAAGCAAUGUGAGUCCCUCACCAGAUGCAACUGCCCAGUCUUGGACUUUCCAGUGACCAGAAUCAUGAGCCAAAUAAACCUCUUUUCUUUAUGAAUUACCCAGCCUCAAGUAUUCUGUUAUAGCAAAACAAAACAGACAAAGACAGUUUACCUACUUACUUACUAACUCAGGAAAUAUUUUUGAGCAUCUAUUAUGUGGAUUACACCACAAAAGGAUGAACAAUGCAGACAUCAUCUUUGCUGUAAAAGAGCUCAUGGGCCAGCAGUCAAGAUAGAUAUUGAACAAGUGAAAGUCUGGUUAGAUGCACAACUUAAUGUCUGAAAUUCUCCAAUGGAUCUCCUGAAUGUGUUCUAUUUCGUAAAGGACUUGUUAGGAAUGCCUUCAUUUAACCUCUGGGCUUAGCCGCAUCCACUGGAUUUGUCCAUCUGUUGGGUGAGAUUGACUUUCUGUGGCUUGGUAAUCCUUGGGUUCCAG